GACCACAUAUUUCAGUCACAGUAAGGUGGGACAUCCACAUAUUUCAGUCACAGUAAGGUCGGACGACCACAUACUGUAUCUCAGUCACAGUAAGGUGAGACAACCACAUAUUUCAGUCACAGUAAGGUGAGACAACCACAUAAUGUAUCUCAGUCACAUUAAGGUGAGACAACCACAUACUGUAUUUCAGUCACAGUAAGGUCGGACGACCACAUACUGUAUCUCAGUCACAGUAAGGUGAGAUUAAUACCUAUCUCAGUCACAGUAAGGUGGGACAUCCACAUAUUCCAGUCAUAGUAAGGUGGGACGACCACAUACUGUAUCUCAGUCACAGUAAGGUGAGAUUAAUACAUAUCUCAGUAACAGUAAGGUAGGACAACCACUUAUUUCAGUCACAGUAAGGUGGGACGACCACAUAUUUCAGUCACAGUAAGGUGGGACAAACACAUAUUUCAGUCACAGUAAGGUGGGACGACCACAUAUUUCAGUCACAGUAAGGUGAGACAACCACAUAAUGUAUCUCAGUCACAUUAAGGUGAGACAACCACAUACUGUAUUUCAGUCACAGUAAGGUCGGACGACCACAUACUGUAUCUCAGUCACAGUAAGGUGAGACAACCACAUAUUUCAGUCACAGUAAGGUGAGACGACCACAUACUGUAUCUCAGUCACAGUAAGGUGAGACGACCACAAACUGUAUCUCAGUCAUAGUAAGGUGAGACAACCACAUAUUUCAGUCAUAGUAAGGUGAGACAUCCACAAACUGUUCCUCAGUCAUAGUAAGGUGGUACAUCCACAAACUGUUUCUCAGUCAUAGUCAGUACAUUUUACCUCAAUGAGUAGCUACAUUCACAGGUCCAGCAGAAGGACACAUCUGACGCAAUACAUCUACAUGCAAAGCAGUCUGACUAAAGGGACAUUGCAGUAUCCAUCUCCUCCCCUGCAGAGAGCAGCUUUCAGAUCAGUUUACACUACUCCACUGUCCUCCUCAUGAGCAAGUGGUGCAUUGCAAACAUCGAUCAGUAUUCCACUUGCUCCUCACAUUGAAAAUGUUGAUAAAAUGACAUGUUCAUCUCUCCCACUAAGACGGCGAGGAUGCCCACCCACUGCUCAGCCCGUCAAACCCAUUUACUCUCCAACAUGUCCAAUUUAAUCUGAUGGCAUGUGUACCCAGCCAGGGAAAUGUGGCAAGGAAAUCAUUGAAAAAAACUGAUGCAAAACUUAGCCUAGAGAGACAAAUUAUAAUAAUAACAAUAAAAGCGACAUGGGGCAUUUUUAUUUCCGGUGAAACGCUCGCUGAGUUUUUACCAUUUCUGUGAGAAGAUAAGCACUCUGACAGCGGUAAGGGAAGAAGCAUUACAGAGAGUACAGUAGCACUACAGGGAAGCCAGUCCAGAGAGGACGGGCCUUCAGUACAGUACAGUAGCACUACAGGGAAGCCGGACCAGAGAGGACGGGCCUACAGUACAGUAGCACUACAAGGAAGCCAGUCCAGAGAGGACGGGCCUUCAGUACAGUACAGAAGCACUACAGGGAAGCCGGACCAGAAAGGACGGGCCUACAGUACAGUAGCACUACAGGGAAGCCGGUCCAGAGAGGAUGGGCCUUCAGUACAGUAGCACUACAGGGAAGCCGGUCCAGAGAGGACGGGCCUUCAGUACAGUAGCACUACAGGGAAGCCAGUCCAGAGAGGAUGGGCCUUCAGUACAGUA
rnacentral:lncRNA from 1 species